rnacentral:rRNA from 1 species
ACGGCUCAGUAACACGUAGGUAACCUACCCUCAGGACUGAGAUAACCCCGGGAAACUGGGGCUAAUAUUAGAUAGAUAAAAGAUACUGGAAUGUUCUUUUAUCCAAAGCUUUUGCGCCUGAGGAUGGGCCUGCGUCCGAUUAGGUCGUUGGUGGGGUAAUGGCCCACCAAGCCUGCGAUCGGUACGGGCAGUGGAAGCUGAAGCCCGGAGUUGGGGACUGAGACAAGGCCCCAGGCCCUACGGGGCGCAGCAGGCGCGAAACCUCUGCAAUGCGGGAAACCGUGACAGGGGGAUCCCAAGUGCUCAUGCAUUGCAUGGGCUGUUCUUUGGUCUAAGUAACCAGAGGAGUAAGGGCUGGGCAAGACCGGUGCCAGCCGCCGCGGUAAUACCGGCAGCUCAAGUGGUAGCCGCGAUUAUUGGGCCUAAAACGUUCGUAGCCGGAUAAGUAAGUCUUUGGUUAAAUCCUGCGACUCAACCGUGGGAAUUCUAGAGAUACUGCUCGUCUUGAGACCGGGAGAGGUUGGAGGUACUCCUAGGGUAGGGGUGAAAUCCUGUAAUCCUAGGGGGACCACCUGUGGCGAAGGCGUCCAACUGGAACGGGUCUGACGGUGAGGGACGAAACCUAGGGGAGCGAGCCGGAUUAGAUACCCGGGUAGUCCUAGGCGUAAAUGAUGCGAGUUAAGUGUGGGGGCAUCUACGAGAUGGCCCUGUGCUGUAGGGUAGCCGUUAAACUCGCUGCCUGGGGAGUACGGUCGCAAGGCUGAAACUUAAAGGAAUUGGCGGGGGAG